UUCUCUCUCGUUCUCAUUUUCGCGAGCUUCGAGCGGGGCAACGCACGCCUCGCCGCCGCCAGAAGGAAGAAGCCUCCGCGCCGCGCCCUUUCGUCCUCGCAUUCCAGAGGUCAGGUCGCGCUCGCUGGUUUCCUACCGACGCCGUCGCUCGCGCGCGCUCUCUCUUUUUUCGUCUUGUUCUUCGUCGCAGGUAGGACUCGUGGAGGCCGCACCGAGCAUGGUGAUCUCCAGAGUGUCCGGAAUCGGAGCUCGGGUGGUCCGAGAGCUCUCGCGGCGAGGCGCAAGUACGUCCCUAGUAGGAAGACUUCUUGUCGCGCGAAGACGUUCUAGUCCCGCAAUGCAGCCGCCUUCGGAUAAGCUGUUCCAGGGUGCCCUACUUCAGAAGCAUUUCUUUUGUUCUGCAACCACUGCUGACGAUGCUCAUGUGGGACGUGAUGAAGAGAAAGACAAGAUAUCUGUGACAUUUGUCGAUAAGGAUGGUGAAGAAAAGCAAAUUGAGGUUCCCAUUGGAAUGUCAAUGUUAGAAGCAGCUCAUGAAAAUGAUAUAGAACUUGAAGGAGCAUGUGAAGGUUCACUUGCAUGUUCAACAUGUCAUGUCAUUGUGAUGGACAUGGACUACUAUAAUAAACUGGAGGAUCCAACUGAUGAGGAAAAUGACAUGUUGGAUUUAGCUUUCGGGCUUACAGAAACGUCUCGUCUUGGUUGUCAAGUGAUUGCUAGACCUGAAUUAGAUGGAAUGCGCUUAGCAAUUCCAGCAGCCACGCGAAACUUUGCUGUUGAUGGAUAUGUUCCAAAGCCUCAUUGACAUAAUAUAACUCUGGAAAGUUUUCUCUGAGUGUAAAGGAUGCAGUCAUCCCAAUUUUGUAGCAGAAUCUUUAGCUACCACUUCUUCUGGUGUAGUUCUCCCUUUCAGUAAUCAGAUGCAUAUCUUCUCCGUCCGAACGGAUGCAGAACUUGCUCCGAGCCUAAUUUGUUACUCAUGAUAAAUUAACAAGGUAAGAGAUCCUUCAUUCUCGUGACUGAGAGAGUGGAAAUCUCAAGUAGUUUUAGUUUGUUGAGUGGAAUUCAUAGAUGAAAUGAUAAUUCAUCUAGACAUGCAUGGAGCAUCUAUUGACCAAGACUUAGGUGCUCCAAUGCUUUGAUUACUAUCUAUUGGAACAUUUAUCCAGUCUAUGCUUUGCCAGAACUUGUUACAAUUGCAUAACAUGAUGCUACUCUGUGUCAAACUGCAUAUGGUCACAUUAUUGAGUAGCAAAAGUUGGAAUAAACCUGUAAGUGUGGACUAAUCUCUACUUUUUAUUUAUGGGUAUUGUUCUCUUUUUUCAUCU